GUAGGUGGCAAGCGUUGUCCGGAAUUAUUGGGCGUAAAGCGCGCGCAGGCGGUUCUUUAAGUCUGAUGUGAAAGCCCACGGCUCAACCGCGGAGGGUCAUUGGAAACUGGAGAACUUGAGUACAGAAGAGGAAAGCGGAAUUCCACGUGUAGCGGUGAAAUGCGUAGAGAUGUGGAGGAACACCAGUGGCGAAGGCGGCUUUCUGGUCUGUAACUGACGCUGAGGCGCGAAAGCGUGGGGAGCAAACAGGGAUUAGAUACCCUGGUAGUCCACGCCGUAAACGAUGAGUGCUAAGUGUUAGGGGGUUUCCGCCCCCUUAGUGCUGCAGCUAACGCAUUAAGCACUCCGCCUGGGGAGUCCGGCCGCAAGGCUG
rnacentral:rRNA from 1 species